AUUGAACGCUGGCGGCAGGCCUAACACAUGCAAGUCGAGCGGAUGACGGGAGCUUGCUCCUGGAUUCAGCGGCGGACGGGUGAGUAAUGCCUAGGAAUCUGCCUGGUAGUGGGGGACAACGUUUCGAAAGGAACGCUAAUACCGCAUACGUCCUACGGGAGAAAGCAGGGGACCUUCGGGCCUUGCGCUAUCAGAUGAGCCUAGGUCGGAUUAGCUAGUUGGUGAGGUAAUGGCUCACCAAGGCGACGAUCCGUAACUGGUCUGAGAGGAUGAUCAGUCACACUGGAACUGAGACACGGUCCAGACUCCUACGGGGGGCAGCAGUGGGGAAUAUUGGACAAUGGGCGAAAGCCUGAUCCAGCCAUGCCGCGUGUGUGAAGAAGGUCUUCGGAUUGUAAAGCACUUUAAGUUGGGAGGAAGGGUUGUAGAUUAAUACUCUGCAAUUUUGACGUUACCGACAGAAUUAGCACCGGCUAACUCUGUGCCAGCCGCCGCCGUAAUAC
rnacentral:rRNA from 1 species